UAUUGGGCAAUGGGGGAAACCCUGACCCAGCAACGCCGCGUGAAGGAAGAAGGCUUUCGGGUUGUAAACUUCUUUUACCAGGGACGAAGAAAGUGACGGUACCUGGAGAAAAGGCUCCGGCUAACUACGUGCCAGCAGCCGCGGUAAUACGUAGGGAGCGAGCGUUAUCCGGAUUUACUGGGUGUAAAGGGAGCGUAGACGGCAGCACAAGUCUGGAGUGAAAUGCCGGGGCUUAACCCCGGAACUGCUUUGGAAACUGUGCAGCUAGAGUGCAGGAGAGGUAAGUGGAAUUCCUAGUGUAGCGGUGAAAUGCGUAGAUAUUAGGAGGAACACCAGUGGCGAAGGCGGCUUACUGGACUGUAACUGACGUUGAGGCUCGAAAGCGUGGGGAGCAAACAG
rnacentral:rRNA from 1 species